rnacentral:rRNA from 1 species
UACGGAGGGUGCAAGCGUUAAUCGGAAUUACUGGGCGUAAAGGGUGCGUAGGUGGUUUAGUAAGUUAUCUGUGAAAUUCCUGGGCUUAACCUGGGCAUGUCAGGUAAUACUGUUAAACUCGAGUACAGGAGAGGGUAGUGGAAUUUCCGGUGUAGCGGUGAAAUGCGUAGAGAUCGGAAGGAACACCAGUGGCGAAGGCGACUACCUGGCCUGAUACUGACACUGAGGCACGAAAGCGUGGGGAGCAAACAGG